ACUUACUCAGUUACUCACUACCUAACCUUAAUUCAAUCUUUCCUUUAACACCAAAAUUGAACUUUUUCAUGAAUUUGAUUGGAUCAAUAAUCAAUCAAUCUAAGAUAGUUGUAAAGCACAAAAAACAUGAGAUCUAUUUUAAGUCUUCAGAGUAAUCAUAAACUCCAAGAAAACUCACCAAUACACCUUGAAAUGGAGCUACUACUGUAAGAUCCCAAAUUUUUAA